rnacentral:rRNA from 1 species
AUGGCGGAGUGGCGCCGGCGCCACCCGGAGGACGUCGCCUACGAGCAAGUCUACUGGGCAAGGCGCCGCGAGGAGCGGUUGGACAGGCGUCGACGGAAGGCAUUGACGAAUGCGCAGUCCGAUAUCGUUGCAACAGGUGGGAGGUCGAUCUUCACGGCAGACGAUGAUUGUUGGUUGGACAUAUGGCUCGAUACCUCGGACGACACCGGCGAGGAUGAUAAUGGUGAUGAUGGUAGCGACUUGGAGUAG